rnacentral:misc_RNA from 1 species
AAGGAUCAUUAUCAUAGGGCUUAUACUCUUUGAGAUAGAACCCCUUGUUUAUUUAGUACCUUAAUGUUUCCUAAGCAAGAUUUAACUUGCUAAAGGACCCUAUAAAACCUUUUGUGGCUGUAAACAUCUGAAAAUUAAUAUAUUACAACUUUCAACAAUGGAUCUCUUGGCUCUG